AGAGCGAACGCUGGCGGCAGGCCUAACACAUGCAAGUCGAGCGCCCGUAGCAAUACGGGAGCGGCAGACGGGAUAGUAACACGUGGGAACGCGCCCUUCGGUUCGGAAUAACUCAGGGAAACUUGAGCUAAUACCGGAUACGCCCUUACGGGGAAAGAUUUAUUGCCGAAGGAACGGCCCGCGUCCGAUUAGCUAGUUGGUGAGGUAAUGGCUCACCAAGGCGACGAUCGGUAGCUGGUCUGAGAGGAUGACCAGCAUCACUGGGACUGAGACACGGCCCAGACUCCUACGGGAGGCAGCAGUGGGGAAUAUUGGACAAUGGGCGCAAGCCUGAUCCAGCCAUGCCGCGUGGAUGAUGAAGGCCUUAGGGUUGUAAAGUCCUUUUGUGCGGGAAGAUAAUGACGGUACCGCAAGAAUAAGCCCCGGCUAACUUCGUGCCAGCAGCCGC
rnacentral:rRNA from 1 species